rnacentral:RNase_P_RNA from 1 species
AAGGUAGACUGGGCAAUCGCUUGCAAGGUAAACUUACAAGAGGAAAGUCCGGACUCCAAAUGAAGAAGGCACCUUGGGAGAAUAUCUGUUAUGGUAUUCAAUCAAGGAGGGUGAAAACUCAUGGAAAGUGCCACAGAAAAAAACCGCUAAAUUAAGCUCGCAAGAGCUUAAUAAGUAAGGGUGAAAACGUGUGGUAAGAGCGCACGAUCUAUUUCAGCAAUGAAAUAUUUGGGUAAACCCUGUCUGGAGCAAGACAAAAUAGGCACACAUUAGGUAAUUCAUUCCAGCUAGUGUGCGGGUAUGUCGCUUAGAUUAAUGGUUGCUACUUUCUUAACUGCAGUGUACAGAAAGAACAGAAUCCGGCUUAUAGGUCUACCUUGGAA